rnacentral:rRNA from 1 species
GACGAACGUUGGCGGCGUGCUUAAUACAUGCAAGUCAACUGAAGCAGAGGUAGUAAUAUCUCUGUGGAGGUGGCGCACGGGUGAGUAACACGUAGGUAAUCUGCCUUCAGGUCUGACAUAACCCCGAGAAAUCGGGGCUAAUAGCAGAUGAUGCAGCGGCUUGACAUCAAGACAGUUGUUAAAGCUUCGGCGCCUGAAGAUGAGCCUGCGUCUGAUUAGCUAGUUGGCGGAGUAACAGCCCACCAAGGCUACGAUCAGUAGCUGGUCUGAGAGGAUGAUCAGCCACACUGGAACUGAGACACGGCCCAGACUCCUACGGGAGCAGCAGUAAGGAAUAUUGCUCAAUGGG